GUGUGUGUGUGUGUGUGUGUGUGUACAUAUAGAGGCCAUAUUGCAUCAUAAUAUAUGAGAAUGAUGCUCCAAAUUGAUGACAGAGCUAUUAAAGUGCCAGAAAACACAUGUGAAGUAUACUGGACAUAUGGAGAAGUAUUCUAAACUAUACACAUUGCAUGUUCAUAAUUUCAACAUGACUAAAAAAUAUAAGAUGUAAACUGCUCAAGGAAAAUAAUUUGAUACUAAAAUGCAUAUUGUUUAUAGGUCUACUUACUCAUGUAUUCACAAUGUCUAAAACUGUAUUAUUGUAUUAAUAUUUUACCAAUAUUAUAUCUGAUAAACUACUUUCAACAUUUUGCGUGCAAAGUAGGAAAUGUGCUGUGCUUGCUUUUAUCUCGUAAUACUGGGUAAAAUAAACAUGUCCACAUCAAAUCAAAACAACAUCAGAUAACAUUUGCAUAAAUAAUGGACAAAUAAUAAUAUGCAGCAAUUAGCCUAUUAGGAUAAUUUUAAUGUUUUAUUUAUUUAUUUGUUUAUUUAUUGACGUUUUCCAUCUCGGGACGGGGGCUAUAUAAAUGUAAAAGAUCUGCAUCCUCUUUGUUAGGUAAGAAAUAUACAACAGGUGUCACUCUUGAUCCUUACCUCAACAUUCCUAGUCAAUAAUUUGUCACGUUGAUAACACUUGCGGAAGUGAAAAGGACGGUGUAAGGUUGAGUAUGUUAUCUCGUCAGUCGUGAUAUCCGCGUACGCAAUCUGUGCUGUUUGGUUCCCUCAGCAAGCAUGGCAGAUCUUCAGAACAUUUCUUAUGGUAAAGCAGAGUUGCAGCCUGAAGCCGUAACUGAUAUUGGUGUGCUGGCAUCCAAGAAAGAACCUCCAGCAGGCUACUAUAUUAUGAGGCCUCCAACAGAGCUUGGCACCAGUGCCCUGUGUUUGUUUAGGACUCAGAUGGCACUGACACAAGGGUGGCUGCGCUUCUGCAACUCUCAGCAAUCCCAGAGCGCUGAGACGGGAAACUAGGACAACAGUAUCAAUGGCCUCUAGGAAAAUGUUUUGUGUGUGUGUGUAUCUGUUGUGUAUGUGGGUGUGCCUCAAAAACACUGAGAAAGAACCAGGGCGGAAAGAGAGAGGGGAAGUUUUGUGAAUAAAACAAAGCACAAAGCAAACA
ensembl:lncRNA